UCUCGGCUCUUGCAUCGAUGAAGAACGUAGUGAAAUGCGAUACUUGGUGUGAAUUGCAGAAUCUCGUGAACCAUUGAGUCUUUGAACGCAAGUUGUGCCCGAGGCCUUGUGGUCGAGGGCACGUCUGCUUGGGCGUCAUGGCAUCGUCGCCUUUGCUCCUUGCUU
rnacentral:rRNA from 1 species